rnacentral:misc_RNA from 1 species
AACCUUUUUAGAGCAGCAGGAAGCUGGGUAUCGAAAACAUUGUAGAUUUUUUCACCACCAGCUCGCACGCCGUCAAGAUGCUCUUUGUAUAUUUGAUCAAAAAGACGACAUAUCUCCAUGAUUGUGUACAAUUUUCCUCCAGCAUCAGCAGCAAUGGGCUUUCCAAGACGGCUCAAUUCAGAUUCCAGUUCAGCUAUUGUUUUGUUGAUAAGGGACUGGAUGCCAGGGAUUCUAGACUUGAUCACAGUUUCCAAAUGCUUUGAUAGCACCUUUGCUAGAUGCUCAGACCCCAUUCUGUGAGCAAGGUGCUUGUAUUCUGGGGAGUUUGCAAAAUACUCACGUUCUCUUCGCCGAGCAGCAAUCAUGUCUACAUUCUUGUUUAUAUCAGCUUGUGAUCGGUUCACAACACCAACCCAAGGAAAUUUUAGCCGAUA